rnacentral:lncRNA from 1 species
AAAGAAUGAACAAUGAGGUAGAAAUAUACAGGAAAAAAGAAGAAAACAUACUAUGCAAACAGAAGUACAAACCAAAGAUUUGAACCUCUAUAUGUGAAAAUUAUACACAAAUCCAGUCUGGUACCAAUCUGUAGGUAAAAGGAUGAAAUCCUUAUCAAUUUUAGGGACCUUGGUUCGAUCAGAUAGUCCCUGCUGUUAAGUGACAAUACUGGGCCCAUUUAUGGGUCGAGAGUGAAACACAUGCGCCCAUCUCUACCUAAUAUCAUAAUAAAUCGCCAAUUCUCUCAAAACCUGAGAGUGUUAGUGUUAGGAGCAGAGCUUAUCAUAUUGUAUUCUAACACCGACCACAUACCAACGAAACUGAACCAAGAACCAAUUUCACAAUGUAGCAUGAGCUAACUUAUCGGCCCAUUACCUCCAUGUUGUGGAGAAGUUGGGGGUAUUCAGAGAGUAGGUUGACAACUGCAAGACGACGGAGGUUUUAGUAGAGAUAUAUCGCGCUAUGUGGGUGGCAGAGAUGGUAAUGAAGCUGCAGCUGAGCCUGAGGGUCUGUUAUGGCCUUUGAUAUAGAGGUCUGUUGGCAACAAUUUCUCAAUUCUUAAUGCAGUUGACAAUUUCCAUUUGUAAAGCUGUAUUAAUGUUUAACAUCAAAUUGGCUAUUGCAUGCUGAUAAGACAAACUUACCAGCUCAAGCAUGUAGUGUUAGAA